GGAUGCCUCAGCUAACGGCGAGUGAAGCGGCAACAGCUCAAAUUUGAAAUCUGGCCCUUUCGGGGUCCGAGUUUGUAAUUUGUAGAGAGUGCUUCGGGGGAGACCGCGGCUCUAAGGUCCAUUGGAACAUGGCGUCACAGAGGGUGAGAAUCCCGUAUGUGACCGUGGCUCGAACCCAUGUGAAGCCUCUUCGACGAGUCGAGUUGUUUGGGAAUGCAGCUCAAAAUGGGUGGUAAAUUUCAUCUAAAGCUAAAUACUGGCUGGAGACCGAUAGCGCACAAGUAGAGUGAUCGAAAGAUGAAAAGCACUUUGGAAAGAGAGUUAAAAAGUACGUGAAAUUGUUGAAAGGGAAGCGCUGGCAACCAGACCUGCCCGUAGGCGAUCAGCCGCUGUUCUCAGCGGUGCACUCGCUCUGCGAUCAGGCCAGCAUCGGUUCCAGCGGUCGGAUAAAGGCCUUGGGAAUGUACCUUCCCUUCGGGGGAGUCUUAUAGCCCUCGGUGCAAUGCGGCCAGCCSGGACCGAGGACCGCGCUUCGGCUAGGAUGCUGGCGUAAUGGUUGUCAGCGACCCGUCUUGAAACACGGACCAAGGAGUCUAACAUCUAUGCGAGUGUUUGGGUGUCAAACCCAUGCGCGGAAUGAAAGUGAACGGAGGUGAGAACCCUUAAGGGCGCAUCAUCGACCGAUCCAGAUGUCUUCGGAUGGAUUUGAGUAUGACGCAUAUGCUGUUGGGACCCGAAAGAUGGUGAAUCUAUGCCUGAAUACGGGUGAACGCCAUGAGGAAACUCUGGUGGAGGACUGCGCAAGCGGUUCUGAUCGUGACAAAUCGAUCGUCAAAUUUGGGAUAG
rnacentral:rRNA from 1 species